rnacentral:rRNA from 1 species
GGAUCAAUACGUCGGUCGUGCUUCGGUACGUACUGGCGUCAUUGAUUUCUCCCUUCUGACGAACCAUGAUGUCAUUAACUUGGUGUCUUGGGAAAUCAGGACUGUUACUUUUUGAAAAAUUAGAGUGCUUAAAGCAGGCUCACGCUUGAAUACAUUAGCAUGGAAUAAUGAAAUAGGAUCGAACGUCCUAUUUUGUUGGUUUUUAGGAUCAACGUAAUGAUU